ACAAAGGGCUUCUUCCGUGAGUGGCAUGUGUAGGGCAACUUGAUCUACAUGUGGAAUUGACAUCAAGAGAUUUCAGAAGCAUAAUUUUUUGGUGGUUGGUAACUGGUGAUCACUGGUUUAAACAUCCCA
ensembl:snRNA